rnacentral:rRNA from 1 species
AGCGAACGCUGGCGGCAGGCUUAACACAUGCAAGUCGAGCGGGCAUCCUUGUGGUGUCAGCGGCAGACGGGUGAGUAACGCGUGGGAACGUGCCCUUCGGUUCGGAAUAACUCAGGGAAACUUGAGCUAAUACCGGAUAUGUGCGAGAGCAGAAAGGUUUAUCUGCCGAAGGAUCGGCCCGCGUCUGAUUAGCUAGUUGGUGAGGUUACGGCUCACCAAGGCGACGAUCAGUAGCUGGUCUGAGAGGAUGAUCAGCCACACUGGGACUGAGACACGGCCCAGACUCCUACGGGAGGCAGCAGUGGGGAAUAUUGGACAAUGGGGGCAACCCUGAUCCAGCCAUGCCGCGUGAGUGAUGACGGCCUUAGGGUUGUAAAGCUCUUUUCUCCGGGACGAUAAUGACGGUACCGGAGGAAUAAGCCCCGGCUAACUUCGUG